rnacentral:rRNA from 1 species
UACAGAGGUCUCAAGCGUUGUUCGGAUUCAUUGGGCGUAAAGGGUGCGUAGGCGGUUUGUUGCGUCGGCUGUGAAAUCCCGAGGCUCAACCUCGGGUCUGCAGUCGAUACGAGCAAACUAGAGUGUUGCAGGGGAGACUGGAAUUCCUGGUGUAGCGGUGAAAUGCGCAGAUAUCGGAAGGAACACCAGUGGCGAAAGCGACUUCCUGGUCCAGCAUCGACGUUCAGGCACGAAAGCGUGGGGAGCAAACAGG